CAGGAGUUGUACAUGUUUUUUGGUGGGAUAUUUCACAAAUUAGAACAUUUUUACUAUUGUUUUUGUUGAAUGUGCUAUGAAAACGGGUUUCAGGCUCCAUAUUUUAUGCGCCACAUUGGAUUUUUGAAAAGGCCAGAACUUUUUCAAAAGCCAGACGAUCAUUUUGAGACCUCAAACGUCUUGUUAGGUUAACCCAAAUUUUGGGUGCACUGAUGGUCCGGUUGACGUGAAACGUCCCAUAUGUAUACGGAAAUUUCGAUACAGAUAUAGUCGAAAACUGCCGCCACGGUUCUCGAGGAGGCUGUUCACCGUCGUCCUUCAUCGAAGGAAGCUGCCCAGCCGGUCCAGGGAGAAGGCUCAGCUAAUCGACUACUUCUGGACAUUGAGUUUUUUAAUGUUUUCUCAUAAUAUCUGCUCAUACAAUUCAUCCCGUCACUCAUACUUCUUCUCUCAUACUUUUUAUCAUUCUCUCUCUCUCUCUCUCUCUCUCUCUCUCUCUCUCUCUCUCUCUUUAUUCAUUCCAUUAAAUAUAUAUACCUAUAUUAAUAAUUUUUAAUUUUUACUAAUUCUCUCUGCCACUUUCUGUUUUCGAGCCCAUCUUCGACUCUACAUUAGGAUCAACCACUGGUUACAACCCUUACUGUACCUGGGAAAUAUAGAGCUUGCUGAAAACAAUAGCUGCGGGGGUUCCAGUUAUUAAGAAGUGAGAAAAGUCAUAAUGUCUUGUUUUUUUGCAAAGGCAAAAUUUUUGAAGUAUCUAUGCAAAAUUCCAACUAUGCAGCCGUAGUAGAAAGCACAUAAUAUGCAUGUGAAAGAUUUUUUUAAUAAAACUGCAUACUUGUGAUGAAA